UCUUUUAUUUUUCUAAGCUUGGGAUGCCUUUGCUCUUCCAUCUGGUGCACAAGCCCAUGUAGGGCAGUAGUGGGUCUGGAUCCUGCGGGCACCAACAGCAGGGCAGAUUCCACACUCCCGGGACAAUGGCCCUUUCACAACAUGGAAAGCCACUCAGUAUUGUAUUGUUUGCACGUGAUGCAGCCUCUUGACCGCGCGCGCAAACACUCCUAUUUGCACCAGCCCCCGUGACUCGACGGUGGCUUAUUUACUGCAGGAGAUACUGGGGCUGAUUGAAGCGGCAAACCUCUCCCCCCGACCCUAAGAGGAAAACAACAAAAGCCACAUAUGAAAAAUGAAGCCAUCCCACUUGGAGCCAGGGAUUGGAACGCCGGCGCGGGCACCAGAUGUUAACUUCUGCUUGUGGCUCCAGCCUUUGUAUUUGCUUCAGCCUGCUCCUGAAAUCCUGGGAAGUCUGCCUCAUUAUGUUCUUCAGCUCUUGGCUUCAGCGUCUUCUCAAAGGGACCUUAUUUAAUGGCUACACUCUCUGAAUUCUGGAAGCUAGAAGUCCAAGAUCAAGGUGUUGGCAGUGUCGAUUCCUUCUGCAUCCUCUCUUCUUGGCAUGUAGUUGCAACCUUCUCCUUGUGUCUUCAUGUGGUCUCACCUCUAAGCAUGUCUUAAUCUCUUCUUGUUGACACCAGUCACAUUUGGUGCUGGGAGAGGUGAGACGGAGUCAUCAGAACACACAGGGCCUGAUGCAAGUUCCCCGCUUGGUCUCCCGGUUAAUUACCUGCAGAAGACUCGAGCGUCCACAUGAUUCCUACCUCCACCUUUUUUGUGACUCAUCAUGGGAAUUCUGAGUAAUAGGUCCUUGUUACCCCGAAACCUUCCCUGAGAUGAAGCAUGGAGAAAAACAGGGCAGUAACCGUCGGUACAACUGACACCCUCGAUGAGGACACUGAUUUCAGAGAUAUCAAGUGCUUUGCCUCUCAGGCACAUGAUACUUUGCUUCCCCUUUUACACUGGAUCCAGGUUCCGUGAAAUAUGCUUUGAGAUAUGCUACUUUGAAGCUGACCAAAGUGAGAGAGAGAGGCUGACCUACAUUUUGGCAGAAAAGGAGAACUAGCAGCACUCCUGUCGAACACAAAAGGUUAUGUUGCGUUGUCCUUCUUAGAGAUCAUUUAAAAAUAAAACAGUAUUCAUGGUGAAGUGUCCGGAGAGAAAUGUAUCAAGGUUUGCAGCUUAUCUUAAAAUGGAACAAAAAUAAUCUGACCGUAAUGGAUGGAGGAGGGGAUGGAUAGAUACAUGAUAAAACAACUAUAAUCAAAUGCAAAUUGUAGAAUCUAGGUGCUGGGUAUCUUUGGGUGUUCACUGUGAUUUUUUAAAACUUUUUUUUUUCUGAAUGUUUGAAAACAUUUUAGAUUAAGUGUUGUAAAAACAUUUAAGCUAACUUGCAUGAAGCAUGGUCAAAAGGAAGUAGAAAGAUUUGUUGGAUUUUCAUCUUUCCUUUAUAGUCCUUGUCUGUUGCCCAUGUGCCAAGCACGAGGCUGUAUACAUUGUAUUAUCUCUUUUAUUAUUCAAACCAACACAUUUUAAUGGGAGUUCCCAUUAUAAUGAUCAGACAACUAAGAUUUAUGAUAGUAAGUGUCGUAACAAAAUUCCCUCUUGGCAAAGCCGUGUUUUUAUGUGAUGUGUAGGAGGUACCACAACCUUUAUUUCCUUCUUCCCAUCCUAUCCCACACCAAGGUAAAUCUGAUAAUGCUUACUGAGAAUUUCCCCCUCCCACCCAUCUCCUACCCUCUGUUAGUCAGCUUUCCAUACUGUGACCCAAUACCUGAGAUAAUCAGCUUAUAAGAAGGGAAGGGUUUUUUUUUUUGGUUCACCACGUCAGAGGUUUCACUCCAAGAUUGCUUGGCCCAGUUGCUUAGGCCUGUGGCAGCACAGAACUUCAUGACAGCAGCAAGUGUAAAGGAAGUCUGUUUGCCUCGAGAUAACCAGGAAGUAGAGAGAGAGGAAGAGACCAGAUUCCCGAUAGCCCUUCUAAGGGCAUAGCUCAAAUGACUAACUUUCUUGUACUCUGUCCCUCCUCUUUUUGGGGGGGUGGGGAUGGGGAUAUUAGGGGUGAACUCAAGGGCACUCAACCACUGAGCCACAUCCCCAGUCCUGUUUUGUAUUUAGAGACAGGGUCUCACAGAGCUGCUUAGUCCCUUGCUUUUGCUGAGGACGGCUUUGAUAUUGUAAUCCUCCCGCCUCAGCCUCCCAAGUCACGGCACCCAGCUAAGUCCCUCCUCUUAGAGGUUCUUCCUUUUCCCAAUAGUACCACAGACUGGUGGUGCCUCUGGGGACACACAGAGGCAGACUGGUGGUGCCUCUGGGGACACUUCAGAUCCAAGCUAUAGCAUCCUCCCUAUUUUGGGGCCUUAUUUUAAAGUUUGGGUGGCAGCUAUUUCGUCAUGGGGCCAAGCAGACAAACAGAGGAGCGUUAUCUGUCCCAGAAGCAGCCAAGGUUUGCAGACAGCUGGAAGGGGGUGGUGAGUGAAUUGUGAUGGGGAGGAUGGAGAUGGGGGAGGGAACAGAGGCUUCAAGGAGACUCUGGGAGCCAGUUAAGAGGACGAGCAGAACCUUUUAAAAUGCUGUGGUGUCAAAUGAGAUUUUCUCUAAAUUUUUUUUUUUUUUGAGAGAUAUAGUAUUAAAGUUACCUCCGUUUCUUUGUUUUCUGGGCAUGUUU